GGUGAGUAACACGUGGGCAACCUGCCUGUAAGACUGGGAUAACUUCGGGAAACCGGAGCUAAUACCGGAUAAUCCUUUCCCUCACAUGAGGGAAAGCUGAAAGACGGUUUCGGCUGUCACUUACAGAUGGGCCCGCGGCGCAAUAGCUAGUUGGUGAGGUAACGGCUCACCAAGGCGACCAUGCGUAGCCCACCUGAGAGGGUGAUCGGCCACACUGGGACUGAGACACGGCCCAGACUCCUACGGGAGGCAGCAGUAGGGAAUCUUCCGCAAUGGACGAAAGUCUGACGGAGCAACGCCGCGUGAGCGAUGAAGGCCUUCGGGUCGUAAAGCUCUGUUGUCAGGGAAGAACAAGUACCGGAGUAACUGCCGGUACCUUGACGGUACCUGACCAGAAAGCCACGGCUAACUACGUGCCAGCAGCCGCGGUAAUACGUAGGUGGCAAGCGUUGUCCGGAAUUAUUGGGCGUAAAGCGCGCGCAGGCGGUUCCUUAAGUCUGAUGUGAAAGCCCCCGGCUCAACCGGGGAGGGUCAUUGGAAACUGGGGAACUUGAGUGCAGAAGAGGAGAGCGGAAUUCCACGUGUAGCGGUGAAAUGCGUAGAGAUGUGGAGGAACACCAGUGGCGAAAGCGGCUCUCUGGUCUGUAACUGACGCUGAGGCGCGAAAGCGU
rnacentral:rRNA from 1 species